GUGGGGAAUAUUGGACAAUGGGCGGAAGCCUGAUCCAGCAAUUCCGCGUGGGUGAAGAAGGUCUUCGGAUUGUAAAGCCCUUUCGACAGGGACGAUGAUGACGGUACCUGUAGAAGAAGCCCCGGCUAACUUCGUGCCAGCAGCCGCGGUAAUACGAAGGGGGCUAGCGUUGCUCGGAAUUACUGGGCGUAAAGGGCGCGUAGGCGGCGCAGUUAGUCAGGCGUGAAAUUCCUGGGCUCAACCUGGGGACUGCGCUUGAUACGGCUGUGCUAGAGGAUGGAAGAGGCUCGCGGAAUUCCCAGUGUAGAGGUGAAAUUCGUAGAUAUUGGGAAGAACACCGGUGGCGAAGGCGGCGAGCUGGUCCAUUACUGACGCUGAGGCGCGACAGCGUGGGGAGCAAACAGG
rnacentral:rRNA from 1 species